AGUGAAUAGAUACCCGGGUAGUCCACGCUGUAAACGAUCAAUACUAGGUAUGCGGGGACUGACCCCCUGCGUGCCGGAGUUAAACACAAUAAGUAUUGCACCUGGGGAGUACGAUCGCAAGGUUGAAACUCAAAGGAAUUGACGGGGGCCCGCACAAGCGGUGGAUUAUGUGGUUUAAAUUCGAAGCAACGCGAAGAACCUUACCAGGGCUUGACAUCCUACUAAUGAAGCAGAGAUGCAUUAAGUGCCCUUCGGGGAAAGUAGAGACAGGUGGUGCAUGGUUGUCGUCAGCUCGUGUCGUGAGAUGUUGGGUUAAGUCCCGCGACGAGCGCAACCCCUAUUGUUAGUUGCUACGCAAGAGCACUCUAGCGAGACUGCCGUUGACAAAACGGAGGAAGGUGGGGACGACGUCAAAUCAUCAUGCCCCUUAUGUCCUGGGCCACACACGUAAUACAAUGGCGGUCAACAGAGGGAUGCUAAGCCGUGAGGUGGAGCGAACCCCGUAAAAGACCCGUCGUCAGUUCGGAUUGCAGGCUGC
rnacentral:rRNA from 1 species